ensembl:lncRNA
GUCUGUCCAGUGUGGGUGGACCCCACAUUAGCGGACUUCCAGAACAAGCCCGAUCCUUAAGGGCUUUGUGGUCUCACGGGGCUGUCUGUCAGAACCAGCAACUGCAGGAUGGAGCUGCGGUCAUCUCCACAAGGACUUCAUCUGCUCAAGAGCUCUGGAGCAUCACAUAAAUCAGUCAGCAACCUUUCUACAAGGGCUCACAGAAGACAUCUGAAGCAGAUGACACCGUCUCUGGGAAGCCAUUUCUGGGAAGAGGUGCUCUGCUCUCAGGUAUGGAGGUGCUCCUGGUGACUGUCUUUGAGCUCUUGGCACA